AACAAUAUGUAUAAGAGUAAUUGGAACAAUUUGAUCCAGGGGGUGGAGAUGAGUAGGUUUAGGGGUGCAAAUGGGAUCCAGGGGGUGGAGAUGGGUAGGUUUAGGGAUAUGUAAAGUGGGAGGAGUUGGAUCUCAAGUUG